rnacentral:rRNA from 1 species
ACAGGUGCUGCAUGGCCGUCGUCAGCUCGUGUCGUGAGAUGUUGGGUUAAGUCCCGUAACGAGCGCAACCCUUGUCCUUAGUUGCCAGCACGUCAUGGUGGGAACUCUAGGGAGACUGCCGGUGACAAACCGGAGGAAGGUGGGGACGACGUCAGGUCAUCAUGGCCCUUACGACCUGGGCUACACACGUGCUACAAUGGCUGGUACAGAGGGUUGCGAAGUCGCGAGGCGAAGCUAAUCCCUUAAAGCCAGUCGUAGUCCGGAUCGGAGUCUGCAACUCGACUCCGUGAAGUCGGAAUCGCUAGUAAUCGCGGAUCAGAAUGCCGCGGUGAAUACGUUCCCGGGCCUUGUACACACCGCCCGUCACACCAUGGGAGUGGAUUGCA